rnacentral:lncRNA from 1 species
AUACAAUGAUAAAAUUACAUCAAUAAUUAGCAUUAAUUUUCAUAAUGUAACUAAAAAAAGAUAGUUAAAGUCCGUAAUAAAUAUGUUGACCAAGAUGUAGAACCAACUGCACUGCAUAGUAAAGCUGUCUUUUACAGUCUGAAGGAUAAAAGUUUUAUUCCACUUCCCAUACUUCAUAUUUUUCCUUGAAGAUCUGUUGGUAAAAUCUUAUGUAGUGUAAAACUAUGUUAUAUAGAACUAAAAAUUAUACAAAAAAGAGGUUUUAUGUUCCAAAAUUAAAAAAAUACACACUUGUUUUUUAUUUUUUAUAAUUAUUGGAAACUUUACUUUUUAUUAAAAAUUGUUGAUCCAGUCACAGUAGGAACAGUCAUGAUAGUCUUGGAAUGGCCCCAUCAUUUAAUAAUCUUUGGGAAGCAGCAUAAAAAUUAGAAAGAAAGAAAAAUUGUCCCCAGUAAAAGUUGAUACUUGCUGUUGUUUAGUAAUUUCAAUAAAACAUUCUUUGCAUGAAAAUAAUAGACAUAGUUCAUUUUCAAAAAUCCUAGAUUGGAAAGCAGCAUAAAAAGAGACAUGAGAAAAAAGAGCAUAUUUAUUAUGCUCUUCUUUCAUUAUAGGCUAUUUUCCAUUCUAUGCUAUCAACUGGAUGCCUUUUUGGUACUCACUACUUUGGAGGAUCUAUGCUCAAAUCUGGGGAUUUUGGUCAACAACAGAUUUUUAGAAGAGAUUUGUCCAAACACAUUGAAACCAUCUUUCAACCUUCCAGUUGACCCCCAUCAUAGUGUUGGCCAAUUUGUGAUGGGCUCUAAAAGUGGCCACUGCCAAAUACAUUAUAUCCCAUGUGAUAACAUCUGGA